GACUGGGCUUCCCUGUAUCUAUGGUCUGACGGACAAACAGCCCCAUUCUCAGAGUUCAUAACGGAGUGCUUACAUUAUUACACUUGUGCAAUUCAAGAUAUAUUUAUUUUACCCUUUCAGUAUUUGUUGUUGUUGUUGUUGUUGAAAAAGGUACAAAAUGUUUGAAUUGUUUAAAAAGUUAUUUUAAGCUAUACAGGUUUUGUGUUCUCAGAGGGAUGGGAUCAAAACACAGCAAGAUGACAAUUCAGUUGAAAAGAUAAGAGUAGUCAGCACUUCAGACUAGUGAGGACAAUGUGCAUUAUAAUGCAGCUGUUUAGUUUGACGACUGUGACACACAAACGCAGUCAUUUCACUGUGAGAACUGACGGACUGUAAUAAUAAUAAUGUGUUUUAAAGCCUACAUACACACAAACAGGUUGUACUUUCUGCUAAAUUCAAUGUAGGCUUUUUUCUUGUUGCUUUUGACAACAACAACAGUACACCAAAGUUCAGAAUAGAUGAACAAUGUUUCUGUGUGUUUGGCGUUUCUAAUGAUAAGCUAAGUGACAGCUGUAUUGGAGAGACAGAGGCAGGAUAAAACACAACACAUCACUCAAAUGUUUGGUGAGAAAAUAGGUGAGAUACUGUACUGGCUAGAUGGGAGGUACUGUACUGUACUGGCUAGAUGGGAGGUACUGUACUGUAUUGGCUAGAUGGGAGGUACUGUACUGUAUUGGCUAGAUGGGAGGUACUGUACUGUAUUGGCUAGAUGGGAGGUACUGUACUGUACUGUAUUGGCUAGAUGGGAGGUACUGUAUUGGCUAGAUGGGAGGUACUGUACUGUACUGGCUAGAUGGGAGGUACUGUACUGUACUGGCUAGAUGGGAGGUACUGUAUUGGCUAGAUGGGAGGUACUGUAUUGGCUAGAUGGGAGGUACUGUACUGGCUAGAUGGGAGGUACUGUACUGUAUUGGCUAGAUGGGAUGUACUGUACUGUAUUGGCUAGAUGGGAGGUACUGUACUGGCUGGAUGGGAGGUACUGUACUGUAUUGUCUAGAUGGGAUGUACUGUACUGUAUUGGCUAGAUGGGAGGUACUGUACUGGCUGGAUGGGAGGUACUGUACUGUACUGGCUAGAUGGGAGGUACUGUACUGUAUUGGCUAGAUGGGAGGUACUGUACUGUACUGGCUAGAUGGGAGGUACUGUACUGUAUUGGCUAGAUGGGAGGUACUGUACUGUAUUGGCUAGAUGGGAGGUACUGUACUGUAUUGGCUAGAUGGGAGAUACUGUACUGUACUGGCUAGAUGGGAUGUACUGUACUGUAUUGGCUAGAUGGGAUGUACUGUACUGGCUGGAUGGGAGGUACUGUACUGUAUUGGCUAGAUGGGAGCUACUGUACUGGCUAGAUGGGAGGUACUGUACUGGCUGGAUGGGGGGUACUGUACUGUAUUGGCUAGAUGAGAGGUACUGUACUGUACUGGCUAGAUGAGAGGUACUGUACUGUAUUGGCUAGAUGGGAGGUACUAUACUGGCUAGAUGGGAAGUACUGUACUGUACUGGCUAGACGGGAGGUACUGUACUGGCUGGAUGGGAGGUACAGUACUGGCUAGAUGGGAGGUACAGUACUGGCUAGAUGGGAGGUACAGUACUGGCUGGAUGGGAGGUACAGUACUGGUUGGAUGGGAGGUACUGUAUUGGCUAGAUGAGGUACUGUAUUGGCUAGAUGAGGUACUGUACUGGUUAGAAGGGAGGUACAGUACUGGCUUGGUGGGAGGUACAGUACUGGCUGGAUGGGAGGUACAGUACUGGCUAGAUGAGGUACAGUACUGGCUAGAUGGGAGGUACAGUACUGGCUUGAUGGGAGGUACAGUACUGGCUGGAUGGGAGGUACAGUACUGGCUAGAUGAGGUACAGUACUGGCUAGAAGGGAGGUACAGUUCAGUACUGGUUAGAAGGGAGGUACUGUAUUGGUGGGAGGUACAGUACUGGUUAGAAGGGAGGUACAGUACUGGCUAGAAUGGAGGUACAGUACUGGCUUGGUGGGAGGUACAGUAUUGUACUGGGUGGAUGGGAAUAUGUAAACCCAGCCAACAUAUCUGGGUUAGUAUUCUGUAUGUGAAAUUGAGACAUCCAGGCCCGCUAGCCAAAACUCAACGGUGUGUGACUGACAGCUACAUGAACAUUAACUAUGUUACUCUUAUAAUGACCAUUUGGGGGGAGGGGGGCUUAUGUUGGUCCUGGUACACACCUGUACAAGUCUGUAAUGGAAAUGUGUUUCUUACAUACUGAGACCCUGAGGAGUGGGGUCGCGACCUUUUAUGGUGAUACCAUUCAGUAUUGGCUUCUGUACUCACAACCCUAUUUUCUAAACCAGACACAGUGAUGUGUGCAGUCUGGUUGAAUAUUGCCUAUUCAGGCAUGUGAGCCAUCGUCACAACCCAGUCAAAAUGUUGCUUUUUCUCACCCUCCUUCCCUUUUUAAUAUUUUGCGUUGCAUGUUUUUUUCACAGCACAUUUGAGUUAUUUCAAUGGUUAGACUGUAUUUCAAGCAAUAACUCGUAGCUCAAUACAGAUAGACUGAAAGUGUUUGUAUUAUAUUUAGAACAAAGAGGUCCCGGGUCUUAGUUGCUGUACACACAGUCGAUGUUAUCCGCUACAGUUGGAAUGCCUGAAAAUGUGCACUUUAAAGUCGUGUAUAGAAACAAUGUUACAUGUUUCAAUGUCACACAAACUAUUGUAGUUCUUUUUUUUGGUACUUUUUGGCGUGGCACAGUCUGUGUGAAGAUGACCAAAGUGCUUUUUAUUUGCUGGAAAAAACGGUAUUAUUAUUAUUAACUCUUUAAAAACCCAUAAUAACUGUUUCGGUCUCCCAUUAUUGGAAAUGCUUUAAGAAACAUGGUGUUGCCUCGUCGUUUUCUUUAUCGUUGUUGUGAAGAUGGUCACUCAUGUUUUGUAGUUGCGAGAGAAAAAGACAGUUUGCAGUCAAGUCACUAGAGUCUGAAAAAUGGAUUUAGAAAAUGACUCUGAACCCGUCUGAAAUGCC
rnacentral:lncRNA from 1 species